GGGAAACAGGUUAAUAUUCCUGUACUUGGUGUUACUGCGAAGGGGGGACGGAGAAGGCUAUGUUGGCCGGGCGACGGUUGUCCCGGUUUAAGCGUGUAGGCUGGUUUUCCAGGCAAAUCCGGAAAAUCAAGGCUGAGGCGUGAUGACGAGGCACUACGGUGCUGAAGCAACAAAUGCCCUGCUUCCAGGAAAAGCCUCUAAGCAUCAGGUAACAUCAAAUCGUACCCCAAACCGACACAGGUGGUCAGGUAGAGAAUACCAAGGCGCUUGAGAGAACUCGGGUGAAGGAACUAGGCAAAAUGGUGCCGUAACUUCGGGAGAAGGCACGCUGAUAUGUAGGUGAGGUCCCUCGCGGAUGGAGCUGAAAUCAGUCGAAGAUACCAGCUGGCUGCAACUGUUUAUUAAAAACACAGCACUGUGCAAACACGAAAGUGGACGUAUACGGUGUGACGCCUCCCCGGUGCCGGAAGGUUAAUUGAUGGGGUUAGCGCAAGCGAAGCUCUUGAUCGAAGCCCCGGUAAACGGCGGCCGUAACAAUAACGGUCCUAAGGUAGCGAAAUUCCUUGUCGGGUAAGUUCCGACCUGCACGAAUGGCGUAAUGAUGGCCAGGCUGUCUCCACCCGAGACUCAGUGAAAUUGAACUCGCUGUGAAGAUGCAGUGUACCCGCGGCAAGACGGAAAGACCCCGUGAACCUUUACUAUAGCUUGACACUGAACAUUGAGCCUUGAUGUGUAGGAUAGGUGGGAGGCUUUGAAGUGUGGACGCCAGUCUGCAUGGAGCCGACCUUGAAAUACCACCCUUUAAUGUUUGACGUUCUAACGUUGACCCGUAAUCCGGGUUGCGGACAGUGUCUGGUGGGUAGUUUGACUGGGGCGGUCUCCUCCUAAAGAGUAACGGAGGAGCACGAAGGUUGGCUAAUCCUGGUCGGACAUCAGGAGGUUAGUGCAAUGGCAUAAGCCAGCUUGACUGCGAGCGUGACGGCGCGAGCAGGUGCGAAAGCAGGUCAUAGUGAUCCGGUGGUUCUGAAUGGAAGGGCCAUCGCUCAACGGAUAAAAGGUACUCCGGGGAUAACAGGCUGAUACCGCCCAAGGGUACAUAUCGACGGCGGUGUUUGGCACCUCGAUGUCGGCUCAUCACAUCCUGGGGCUGAAGUAGGUCCCAAGGGUAUGGCUGUUCGCCAUUUAAAGUGGUACGCGAGCUGGGUUUAGAACGUCGUGAGACAGUUCGGUCCCUAUCUGCCGUGGGCGCUGGAGAACUGAGGGGGGCUGCUCCUAGUACGAGAGGACCGGAGUGGACGCAUCACUGGUGUUCGGGUUGUCAUGCCAAUGGCACUGCCCGGUAGCUAAAUGCGGAAGAGAUAAGUGCUGAAAGCAUCUAAGCACGAAACUUGCCCCGAGAUGAGUUCUCCCUGACCCUUUAAGGGUCCUGAAGGAACGUUGAAGACGACGACGUUGAUAGGCCGGGUGUGUAAGCGCAGCGAUGCGUUGAGCUAACCGGUACUAAUGAACCGUGAGGCUUAACCU
rnacentral:rRNA from 1 species